GAGCACGUAGGUGGGUUUGUUAGUCAGAUGUGAAAGCCUUUUGUUCAACGGAAGAAUUGCAUCUGAAACUACAAACCUUGAGUAUAGGAGGGGAGAGUGGAACUUCUGGUGGAGCGGUGAAAUGCGUAGAUAUCAGAAGGAACGCCGGCGGCGAAAGCGAUUCUCUGGCCUAUUACUGACACUCAGUGUGCGAAAGCUAGGGGAGCAAACGGGAUUAGAUACCCCGGUAGUCCUAGCCGUAAACGAUGGGCACUAAGUAGAGGGAAUUACCGAUAUUCUCUCUGCCGUAGCUAACGCAUUAAGUGCCCCGCCUGGGGAGUACGGCCGCAAGGCUAAAACUCAAAAGAAUUGACGGGGGCUCGCACAAGCGGUGGAGCAUGUGGCUUAAUUCGAUGCAACGCGAAAAACCUUACCGGGGCUUGACAUGGUAGAAGUAGGAACCCGAAAGGGUAACGAACGGUAUCCAGUCCGUAGCUAUUACAGGUGUUGCAUGGCUGUCGUCAGCUCGUGUCGUGAGACGUUGGGUUAAGUCCCCUAACGAGCGAAACCCUUGUUUUUAGUUGCCAGCGGGUUAUGCCGGGCACUCUAGAAAGACUGCCGUCGUCAAGACGGAGGAAGGUGGGGAUGACGUCAAGUCAUCAUGGCCCUUAUGCCCCGGGCUGCACACGUGCUACAAUGGUCGGUACAAACGGAAGCGAAGCCGAGAGGUGAAGCGAAUCC
rnacentral:rRNA from 1 species